CUAGGACCGUGUAAGCAUCAAACUGCAGCCCAGAAGGCAAAGGAGACAGUUGAUAUAACCCAUCGGGAACAGCUUCUCGGAUCUGCAGUGGUAAACAAGACAUCUGGUACCAUCAUUCCUUUGGCCCCUUAGCAUCUAUUUCUGUUUCUGGGAAAAGUUUGUGUCUCCAUCACAAGGAACAGAUGAAAUCUCCUUGGCUACUGAAUCAUCAUGGGCUGAUGUCUGUUCAGUCACAUCUGUGUCCAGAACUAAAACACUGGAUAUAAACUACCUGCUAUACUGUUGCAGAAAGGGAAACCAAGUGGAAAUUGGAGACGUGACUUCUAUCCUUUUUGCCACGCAGAGGCCAGGCAGAGAGAGAAGAACUCAUGAUCACAUGGGCCUGUUUACUCUAAGCAUAUCUGGGAACUAUCUAGAUAUUCACAUGAGAACAUAUGACUCCUCUCUUCUCCAUUUCUUUUUGGGUAUUAUAUUUUGUCAUUUGUCAUCCAGUUAGGCCUUUUCUUUUUUCUCCUUGUGGUUAAGUUUGAUGGCAUCUGAUUUUAUGCUGCCUCUUUGGAAGUUGCCCUUUCCAUUCUCCUUUCACUUGUUCACCCUACAUUUCAUUUCAGCUCUGCUUCUAUAGCCCCUGGGUACUAUGCUGACCUUCUGAAGCUCUUGCUUUCCACACUGCAAGGCCAUCGCAUUGCCAUCUGCCUAACAGUUGGCUCAUUUGCCUACUGUGGCUUUUUGGGGGGGAAGUGUAAAGCAAACUUCUGAAAAAUGUGGAGACCAAUCCAACCAAUUUAAUUAUUUCUCCCGAAGGGUUCUUAACACAAUGUCCUUCCUUUUAUUCUUAUUUUAUUACCCAAGGAAAGAAAAUUUACUUAGCUCCUUUUUUUAACCCAAGAUUUUACUCAUCAAUUAAUAUUUAUUGAGUUUAUUUACCCUGGAGGAACAGUUUUAUUCUUUGCAAAUAGUAAGUUGUCAAAUCUUUGUGCCGAAGACACAUUUCACCAGAUCUGCUUGAAAGAUCACAUUUCUUUUUAGAGGUCCAUUUAUUUUUUCAGUUGGUGUGUUUUUCUCUGGUAAAUGUGAUCAGCUAACAGCAAGGGGUGAAGUUUAACUAAACAGAAUUUCUCAUCCAGUUGAGAUAAAUGGACUUCGGUUUGAGGGCAUUAUUUAUACCUUUAUUUAUAUUUGACUAGAUCUCAUCAGUUACUGAAGAGCAUUCACGUACUAUUAUUUAGUGUGGCAAGAUGAUACACAGACUGUUCAUCACAUGUCUGUUUACAUUAUAAUUCUGUUUUAUUGUGUGUUAUGGAUUUGUAUUUAUGAAAAUAAUUUUAUAAGUUCAAACUCAAAGCACUUUUUGGUUUAUUAACACACAUUUCCACAGUUACUAUUGUUGGGUGGUUUUUGUCCAUGGUUCUGUUCUUAACCCCUUGACUAUGGUACUUCAUCCCCACCUCAUAUUUUUUUCCCUGACUCCAUAAUCCUGUGAAGAGGGAAUAAAUAUCAACAGUGAGAGGAGCCACCUGAACAACUUUCAAAGGCUUGUUAGAGACCCAUAUACAAUUCUCUCAAGUCAAAGGAAUGUUGUCUAAAAAGCUUUCUAAGAAGUGUCUUUUUUCUUGAUUAUAAAAGUAGUUAUCACAAGAAAUCUAGAAAUAUAUUCUAUAUAUAUAUUCUAAAUCACAUACAACCAUGAUAACAUUCCUUGGUGAUAGAUGGUGAUUCCCCAGUGCACUUCCUUUCAGUCUUCUUGUAUGGCUUUCCUAAAUGUGCUAAUAGAUGUAUUAUUGUUUCCCCAGCCCAACAGAAUUGAGAUCAUAUUUAUAUCUCCUUCUUAACUGAUUUUUGCUUUAAUUUCACUUUAUUUUUCACAGACCUUAAGAAGAUUGGGAUAAAUUUACCUAAACAAUCUUUUUAUCCCCCUCUUUACAUAAAAUAACUGCAUUGAAGAGAAGGACAUAUGAUUUAUUGUUUACUUUGCUAUUUCUCAGUGCUUUUCUUAUUUUUACUUCCUAUUUUUGAUAUUCUCUUUAUCAGAGAUUACCCAGAGCAUUAUCUAAUGAAAAUAAAGUCUUGCAAAAUGAA